rnacentral:lncRNA from 1 species
AAUAAUGAUUUGACAUGAUAAUAACAACCAAACGCAAAAACAAAUGUGAUUUAAACAUUUGCUUCAUCUCUUUUUUUCACAGCAUUAUCUCUUCAGUAGGUGUAGCCUUUGACGAACAUUCCCUCCUUGGCCUCUUCGGACUCACCUUCUCCGGUGUAUUUUCCGAGCUGAGCCAACGAAUUCGCCUUGGCACGGGCCAAGAGAGUGGUCUGAGCUGCGUUCACGUUCUCGGGUCUGCCGGCCCAUGUUUUCAGGCAAGUGUUCUGCAACGCACGUGCGUAGGAGAAGGACACGUGCCAUGGGUUUGGGCCCUGGUUCAUUGCGUUCAGGUUGAGUGUUGCCUCCACCUCCGACUGUCCUCCGGACAAGAACUGCAAAUAACAAAUAACAAGAGAAACAAUAUUACUUCUACCUCAAGCCACCAGCAAGAUUAGGUUUUACCUCAGUCAGCAUUUUGCUAUUAUCUUUAAAAGAAGGAGAGAACUUGCCAUGAUUCCGGGGACUGCGGGAGGGACUCUGUUGCGGAGGAGCUUGAGGGUGUAGGAGGAGACUUGUUCAGGAGUAGCUCUGUCUUUACACUCAGCUCCGGGAGUCACCAUGCUCGGUUUCAGGAGGAUACCUAUGCAAGAAGAAAGUGGUAAAUUGUUAUUUUUCAGACAUUACAAGUUGUAACAAGAGACGUACUCUAUAACGAAUAUACCUUCAAACAUGACAUUGUUUUGAGCAAGGUAGAAGAAAACCUCAGCCCAAACCUUCUCAGCCACGUCGUAUGUCCUGUCAAUGCCGUGCUCUCCAUCCAACAAGAUCUCUGGCUCCACAAUCGGAACCAAGCCGCUGUCCUGAAAAAACACAACUUCUGUAUAAAUAGCUUGAAAGAUUCCGCUUAGAACUGUUUCGUGGGGGACAAGUUACGUGUUUUACCUGUGAAAUGGCAGCGUAUCUAGCAAGACCCCAAGCAGCUUCUUUGACGGCCAGAGCAGAUGGACCGUUGGGAAUGCUCACGACAGUACGCCUAAUCAAUCAUCAGAGAGGAAACAAUCCCUUUAAAAUCGAGAGUAGACCAUAUUUUCGUGUAGGAAAUGAAUGAAAACAGAAGUGAAAGUAGAAUACCAUUUGGCAAAACGAGCACCCUGUUGGUAGUAAGCAGCAGUUCGAGAGGAUAGACCGUCUAAUCCUUGACACCAUGACUCAUUGUUGGAUCCAACAAGUGGCACCAAACCCUAAUUAAUAGUCCAUAACACGCAACUCAAUUUAUAUUCCUCGAAUUAAGCACCAUGCAUGUUGGUAUACAUAGAUUCAAACAAGAUGCAUAUAAGUGUUACCUUGUCAACUUUGAUACCAGGGACGAUGUUCUGCUCGACGAGGACGUCGACCAUUUUCUUGCCUUCGGUGGUAGACUGAUACAGAGUCUCCUCGAAUAGGAUUGCGCCGGAGAUGUACUGUCCGAGUCCCGGUGCAGAGACGAGCAUAGUCCGGAACGCCUGGCGGUUAGCCUCAGUGUUCUCUAGCCCAAUUGAGUCCAAACGCUUCCCGCAAGUCGCGUUGGACUCAUCCAUCGCCAAGAUUCCGCGUCCCGGAGACGCAAUUGUUUUCUACUCCAACCCAAAAUUAAAAGGAAUCAUAUCAAAAUAUAAACCAGACAUCUAAUAAAUGGUAAAGAGAAACACAAAUUCGGUUUGAAUCGGUUCUGAAAUGAAAAGAAAAAAAAAAUAGAAAAAGGAGAAAAACAGAACAAGAGAAUUUAGACAAUUCCAAUAGACAAAAAGUAGAGAAAAGGGACCUUUACGAAUCAUGCAGAUAAAAGAACACGUGGCAAAGAAGAGGAAGUGAACUAACCGCUGUCUUAACAAGCUCAUCAGCGUAGGAGGAAGCAGCGCGGACGGUGAGGGAGGUGGCGCGGUUGCGGAGGACGACGGAGGCGGAAGAAGGCUGACGGAAGAGAACGCUUUGGCCCUUGACCCAUUCCGAUUUGUCCAACACCGGAGAUGCCUUGAGGAGUGAGGUUGAUGCCAUUGGUUUAUCUCUUUUCUCUGCCUUUGGUUAUUUUUUUUCUUAUAAUUUGAGAGACUCAGAGUGAAAGCUUAUGACACCACCUUAUCUUGCUCUCUCACCACCUCACUCCCCUCCCCUCUUUUGGAUUUUAUAUUUCUCUUCAGAUCAGUUAUUUGAGGUUCUUGUGACCUUGCCAAUUAUAUCCUGCCACCUGGACCGUAAUCUUGUAUUAACUCUCCCCAAUUCAAGAAAAAUUCUACACUUUGAUUUCUUUAUUUUUUUUUUUCUUUCAUUUCAUUUUUUUUUUAAUUUUUACUUCUCCCGAAUAUGGAAUCGAUACUCCCCUCGUCGUUACAUAUUCGCUUGAUUUUUGUUUGCUCUAUACAGGAAAAAAUGGUAAGUACACAAAUAGUAACAGAUUCUUUUCAGGACAUUGUUUCUUUGGAGAAUUUUUUUUUGAUAACUUUAUGCUAAUGUAUUUUAGUAGCAUAUUACCAUGUACACUGUACACACAGUGUAUAAAUUUUAGGUUUUCGGUGAUUUAGCUAUAUAAAACUUUUUUUUUUCUCUUAAAAUUGUGUAUGUCUCUUGUAUUUACUCUACAUGUUGUCAUGACGAUGAGGUCGAGGACAGAAAACAUCGGACAAACGCAUCGUUUUCGAUUUAAAAAACAGUGGCAAAACAGGAACAGCUUAUAAAGCUACAAAGAUGUUGUUUUGAUAAGAAAAAGAAAAAUCAUGAGGUUCGUAUCCGUUCUAAUAUUUUAAGGGAGAGAGAUGACGAGAUUAUUCAUCAGUUUAGCAGAAGUCUAAAUCUGACGGCAAAGAGUUCACCAUGUCAUCAUCUACACAUCGUUUGAUCAAAAAAUUGCUAAUCAAUCACAGACGUAUGUUUACUUCAAGACGCAAGUAUUAAAAAUAAUUUCCCUUUUAGAAUUUAGAGCCAAAGAUUGCGUCGGAAAGUUACAUCCAGAGAGAAUGACUUUGUGAGGACGUGAUUCCCUGCGGUUUCUUAAGGCUGAGGUUAAGCAUGGAGAUUUUAAGAGAUUGCCUAGUCUACAUCAACGGUCGAGAGACACUGCAAUCUCAUCGCCACCAUUGCACAACAGGUGGCCAAGUGGGUCGUGUCAACACCAAAUUGACCCUUUGCUCUGGUCUAGGAGGUUUAGAAAUCUCAAAUCCGGUUUGUGCCGGUUAAGGAUUAGUAAAUAGUAAUGCAAAAGACAGUUUAUGAUGUCAAUUUAAAAACACAUGUACUUGAAACCUUCAAUCUUUUCACUUAAAAGUUUCUGCAAGAGACAGAUCCGAGAUCCCAGCUAUCAGAUCAUCGAUAACAACUGUAUCAUCAUUCAGUGGCUGUGGAAGGGGCUGUACUGUGGAAGAAUCAACGAGGGCCUUCUUCAGCUGCAGCACCAACCCUUCUUCCUCUUCACCUUCCCCCACAAUCUCCAGAUCCCACACCUUGAAAAUCUCUUGCUGAGUUACUUCGACCGGUUCCUCUGUAACCUUACAAUCGUCAGCAUCUUCUUGAAUGUAUGCGCUCAUGAAAUCAUCCUUGAAUACUUGAGACGACGAUACAGACUCUGGUUCUUCCUCUUCCGUCUCUCCAUUGCUCACUGACCCAUCUUCUUCUAUACUUUCAACACCUCCAAAGUCUUUAGUAGGAUCGUCUGCUGGUUCACGGGGUCCAUUCUCUGCUAUGGACUCUGAAAAAUAAUGAUCUUGUAAGGAAUUCUUUGACGGGUCUGAUUCAAACGUUAUCAAAGAUAUAAUCUCGCUGACUUCUUCAUUGGAUGAAUGAUUUUUACUGGUGGCUGAAUCAGCUUCAGGUUGGAAUGUGCGUAAACCAGUUGGCUCGGAAUCAGUCAUAUCCUCGUCUGGAGGCAGGACACUAGUUGUUCUUGUUGAGGAAGGAACAAACAUCUCGGGAUGGAUAUCGAUGAUUUCUGUUAAAGCAUCUCUAAAAGUUCCCCAAGUGGUGUGGUCUGACUCAUCAGGAAAACUGACGAUGCAGGAAUCAGCCCAAGCUAAAGACUCAGGAGAAAGAUCUUGCUCGUUUUUAACAGAAAGAGAAACCCCUGCGACGUCUUCUCGUUCAGCCAUGGCUACAACAAAAAGCACAUUCAGAUCUUUCAUGUUAUGAUGACAGAGGAUGGAUUAAGGCAGAAGCAUAGAUUCUCCCCGAUUAUCUACUGAAACCGGGAUGGCUAAACAAAAUCCCAAAUCGAAACUAAGUGAGAGCAGAAUACACUAAUUUCAAUAAUUAAGUGAAACAAAAACUACGGUUUCAUCGAUAACCCAACUACGUGUCUUCUUCACCACCAAAAGUGAAAUGCCUGAUAACUAAAACUCGAACUCACACGAAUCAAAAGAUCUCAGAAACGCACAUCGGUGACGAAUCGAAUCAAAGCGUAUAAACAUCAAAUAAGCAAACAGUUUCUUCUGAAUACACCUAAUUCCAUGUCUAAGUGCAAUGAUUAGUGGGCAAUUCAAUUCACGCUAGUAAUUAAGGAAAAUGACUAACCUUUAUCGAUACGAGAAUCCCAGAAAACCCUAAUUUCGGAAGACUAGAAGAAGAAAACUAAUUUUGAAUCUCUUGAGUCUUGACUGAAGAAGAAACGACGUUGAGUUGUGUUGUUGUUGUUGGAUAUAGCCCAAUACGAUGACGUUUGAAGAGCCAAGUUGGGUAACUUGUUCUUCUUUUCUAUUUAGUUAAUAGCCCAAACAUAUUUUUAGAUUUACAGAAAAGUCUCGUACUUUUUGUAUUUGGACGAUGUGAUCCAAAAGUAAAGCACGCAAUCAACAAAAAGUGCAUUUAUAAGCCCCCCCCCCCCUUUUUAACAUUCACUGAAGAAAGUCUCAUACUUCAACACUACCUUUGUCAUCUUAACAUGUAAUUAUCCCCAUAUAUUGCUACUUUUUUUUCUUUUGUCUUUCAUUAUAUGAAUCACAGUUAAAAAAAUAAAAAAUAAAUGUCUCACUUUGGAUUCAGUUCUUAGUUAUUACAUACAUGUUAAUUUUUUUUGCUAAAUCUUAAAAAGGCAGAGUCGUCUAGAAUAGGGUUAGCCUUAAAAUAAGCCAAAAGACCAACAAAUGGUGCAUUAAUGUAAGUAGUCGGCUCCGUCUCACUUGCGUUUGUCCGACCUCCAAUGAAUUUGUCAUCUAUGUCCGGUCCCCCGAUGACCGCACCAACUAAAAUGUUGGGGUCUGGAUUUGGCGAUGCAAAAACAUUCCAUCCUUCUAAGCAUUUGAUGGCCGUGGGAUGAGUCAUCACAGAUGGUGAGGAUGCACCGCGGUGAUGGAUUUGUCGCGGAUAUCGAUAGCCGUACCCGAUCAUGUAUGAUAUGUUAAUUGGAUUAUCUCCCAAAAUGUAAUCCACCUACAUUAUGAAAUACAAAACUCGUGAACAUUAUCAAGACAGACUCUAGCAUUAUAUGUGUAUUAAUUAUAUGGACUAACUUACUUGUCGUUUGGCCAAGCGACGGAGAGAAUCCGGUUGGAACAUGAGACUACCACAGUGGAGCUGUUGAGAGGAUUUAGAGAGGUCAUUGGCGUAGGUGAGGAGGAGAAAAGACAAUGCGACGGUGUUUUGAAGCUGGCUGCUUCCGGGUUUGUAAAGAAGGCCACCGGGAGAGUAACUCAUAUGUGCACCGGGACUUUCCAGAAAAAACGAACACAUCAAUUUUUCCGCUGUAUCCUUAUACGGUGCAAUCACAGCCACAUUCUUCUCAAAUACUUCCUAUAUCGACACCAAGUAGCACAGACGGUUAGAUUAAAAUUUGAAUUACGAUCCUUAGUUUUUAUUUUUGUACUUAGGAAUAUAAUCUCGUCAGUUCAAAAUCAUAUGUAUAUAUAGAGAAUUGGAUAUAUCCAACCUUUGCAACGAGAACAUUGACGCCUCCAACUUUGUUAUCCCAUCCAAACUCAAAGUAAUUGGAAUCUGCGCUAAAAGAUUGACGAUUGUCCACUAAGUAUUUAAGGUAAGAAUCUUUGCCAGUGGCUCUUCUCAGCCAUGCAGCUCCCCACAAUAGCUCAUCCUAAAUGAAAACAACAUGGUUAUUGUUUAUAUUGAAAAAACAAUCUAUACCGAUUUGAUUUUUUACAUAUAAGAUAUUAAUUCGAGAAUUAUUUUGAGAUUACCUCAUAUCCGUUUACACUACAAUAAAAUGGGCAGACGGCAAGUUUAGUGGCAGGGUUACUGGUAUAAGAACCUCGAUGUGAAUCUGCGUACUCAAAAGUUUUGAAAGCGUUGUCGAGCAAUAUUUUAGAAUAUAUUGGAUCAAAUCGUUUGAAUGCGAUUGAGGCUGCUGCCAACGCAGCUGUGAUUUCUCCCGCUAGAUCAGAGGCUGGGCUCGGUGCUUCCACUGCGUAAGCCGUACGUGGUGUGUCCAUAUCCUCUGGUCUCUCCCAACACUGAUGAUCCGGUGUUGCUUCACCUACCUAAAAUAUCAUUACAAAACAUAUAAACAACUACAUUAGAAAGCUAACAUCUAAAGUAAAAUGCGAUUAGGGUGUUGUGACAUCAGAAAACAUAAUAGGUUAUAGUCACCGUACUUGGACGAAGAUGCGAUUAGGGAGUUGCGAAACAGUCUUAAGGAGAUAAUCAGUGCCCCACCGGAGAGCAAUGAGGUUGUCCCGGAGAUCAGCCGGAGACAUGUAACUACCGAAGUCGACAGCGCUCCACGCAAGCAUCGUAGCCGUAAAAGCCAUCGGGAAGUGGAACUUAAUGUUGUCUCCAGCGUCGUAGUAACCACCAACGAGGUCGGCAUUGAGGUUCUUGCCGUCGUUGAGUGCGGAGUUACGGCGCCACGUCAUCCUUUGAUUUCUUGGAAGAUAACCAGAGCGUUGACCUUCGAAGAAGAGGAUUGACUUCGUGAGAGCAUCGGCGUAGUUGUGAGAGAUCGUCGUUGGUAAGAGGACGAGGAGGAGAACUACUAUGGAAGAGCAGAUCGAUGUCUUCAUUGUUUUUUUUUUUCAGUUAGGGUUUAUGAUCAGAGAUGGCUGAAUGCCACGAUCGAUGCAUAUAUAUACUAAUAUACGAUACCGGUUUCAUUCCAUCUUUCUAUGGAAACUUUCUUGCAUGUUUUGAAUUUUUUGUAUAUUUUUAUAUGUAAACUUUCCUAACCAAUGACUUAUCAUUAAAAAUUAACAUUUUUUUGUUCUUUAUUAAUUCCCUUUUUUCAUAGUUUAAUUGAUAUAUUGGUGAGAGUUUUUUUUUUUUACAAUGUUAAUCUCCCAGUGGAACUUGAGUGGUUCUAUAGAACAUCAUAUACAUCGGACACAGGGUUGCUAUGAUCGAAUACCCAAGCAGAGCAUAUGAUGAGAUUAGGUCUUGGUUUGUGCUCUGAGAUGCUUAAGAGAAUGGUUUUUUUGUCACCCUUCUUCUUCAGAACAAUAUCGGUGGUAUUCAAGUUCUUCAUCAGGACUGUUGGGUCGAUGUAACGCCUCUUCCGGGUGGUUCUUGUCUUCAAUGUGGUAGCUAGUUUUUUUGCAGGCAAGUCCAUUGAUCCGCUCUGUUUUUUUUUUAAGAGUCUGAGAUACCUUUAAUUAUCUUGACAGCUAAUAAUAACGAAUGACAAGUGCAUCAGCGCUGAGCAUAUAUAGCGUGCUUGGUAACAUGGCAGCUAAAUCGAGGAUAUCAGUAGCAAGCUUUUUCAGUACAAAUAUGCUUCCGAUCCGGAUUCAAUUGUUCGCAGUUUUUCUUUACUCAAAUGAAAUUAGCCAUUCAAGAAAGAUUUGUAAUAUACAAAAUUUUCUCGAAGAGAUACAUCAAGGAGUUGAAAGAUUUCAUGGUUAAGAAAACUUACUUCACUUGUGACGCCUACAAGAGAUGUGCAUGUCUACUAGAGAGACUCUUUUGCCUGCUACAUGGCUCCUGAUCCUCUAGAAGUAUUGUUUGUUAUUAAAUAAAACGUUUAUUCAUGCUAUCCUCAAAAUGCAUGAGUCGAAUAAUGUUUUUUUUAAUAUUAAUAUUGUUUUAAAUACACCGUUUAUGUAUUUAGUUCGGCUUAUAUUAAAAGUUUUGAAAUUUAAAAUUUGAGAAUAUUUUAAAUUGUAAAAUUAUAUUAAAAAUGGUUUAAAGGAGAUCUAAAUCCUGUAUAUAUAUGAAGAAUCUCACGCAUAUUAUAUGUCUGUCUGAGAUGCAUACUUAUAAUUCCAUCAAUAAUAUAUAUGUACGUACGUUUGCAUUUUUCAUAUAUGAUAUUACAAAUUUGGAAAAGAAACGAAAAUCAAGCGAAGUUAGGGUUGCUUUUAAAGUAGGCAAAGACACCAACAAAAGGUGCAUUGAUGUACGUUGUGGGUUCCGUCUCUUCAGCAUGAUCCCGACCUCCAAUAAAUUGAUCAUCUUCUUCGGGUCCGCCAAUCACCGCUCCUAUAAGAAUGUUGGGGUUUGGAUUGGGUGAAUGGAAGAUACUCCAUCCUGGUAAGCACCCGAUGGCAUUUGGAUGAACGGUGACAGACGGUAUAGACGAGCCACGGUGGUGGAUCUCUCGCGGGUACUGCUCACCGUACCCAACCAUGUAUGACAACUUCAUUGGAUUAUCUCCCAAAACAUAGUCUACCUACAAUUUUAUAAGAGAAACAUAUAUACAAAAUUACAAACCAAUGUUUAUUUAUUUGUUGCUAGGACUCAACUCAAUGUUUAUUAGAUUGACAAUUUAAUGCUUUGAUCGGUAAUAAAGAUGAAAAUUUGAAUGUACCUGUCUUUUGACAAUGCGGCGAAGAGAGUCUGGUUGAAACUUGAGGUUACCACAGCUGAGUUGCUGAGAGGAACUAGAGAGGUAAUCUGCAUAGGUAAGGAGGAGGAAAGAUAGUGCAGCUGUGUUCUGGAGCUGGGUGCCUCCAUGUUUGUAAAGGAGACCGCCGGGAGUGUAACUCAUGUGCGGACCGGUGGUUUCCGGAAAAAAUGCGCACAUCAUUUUCUCUGCCGUAUCUUUAUAUGCUGCCAACGCAGACACAUUCUUCUGAAAUACUUCCUGUUAACCAUAUUGAUUUAGAAGUACACAUUAGACAUUAGUUUUUUAACUAGUUCUAAUUUUUGAAAGAAAAAAAAAAGAAGAAGUAGAAGAUAACCACGAGAAUUAACAGAUUUCUUGAGAAAAAUUACCCUUUGUAAGCAUAAUAGUAUGUUAACGUGUAUAAUUUAUAUGGUCAUAUAUGUAUUACAAUUUACGAUUAUGAGUAUAUCGUAUUUUUAUAAUUUCAAUUGAAGAUUGUAUAGAGAGAAUUGGAAAUUUAGACCAAACCUUGGCAAUUAGAACAUUAACACCCCCGACUUUGUUGUCCCAGCCAAACUCCAAGUAAUUGAAAUCUGCACCAAAAGCUUGACGAUUGUUCACUAAGUAUGUCAGGUAAUAAUCUAUGCCUGUUGCUCUUCUUAGCCACGCAGCUCCCCAUAGCAACUCAUCCUGUAUAUAUGAAACCAAACCAUGAUUUUGUAUGAAAUUAAAACCAACUAAAUUUGAUUGUAUACAGUACUCAGAAAAAACCUUAUAUCCAUUAACACUACAGUAAAAAGGGCAAGCGGCUUGGCGUACUGCCGGAUUAUCGGUAUAAGAACCGCGAUGAGAAUCUGCGUACUGAAACGUUUGUAUGGCUUUAUCGAGUAAUAUUUUGGAAUAUGUUGGAUUUGCUUGUUUGAAUGCAAUCGAAGCCGCUGCUAAAGCUGCUGUGAUUUCUCCCGCUAAAUCGGAAGCUGGAAGUGGUGCGUCUAAGGCGAAAGCGGUUCGUGGCGUGUCCAUAUCUUCCGGUCUUUCCCAACAAUUAUGGUCCGGUUGUGCUUCACCUACCUAUNNNNNNNNNNNNNNNNNNNNNNNNNNNNNNNNNNNNNNNNNNNNNNNNNNNNNNNNNNNNNNNNNNNNNNNNNNNNNNNNNNNNNNNNNNNNNNNNNNNNNNNNNNNNNNNNNNNNNNNNNNNNNNNNNNNNNNNNNNNNNNNNNNNNNNNNNNNNNNNNNNNNNNNNNNNNNNNNNNNNNNNNNNNNNNNNNNNNNNNNNNNNNNNNNNNNNNNNNNNNNNNNNNNNNNNNNNNNNNNNNNNNNNNNNNNNNNNNNNNNNNNNNNNNNNNNNNNNNNNNNNNNNNNNNNNNNNNNNNNNNNNNNNNNNNNNNNNNNNNNNNNNNNNNNNNNNNNNNNNNNNNNNNNNNNNNNNNNNNNNNNNNNNNNNNNNNNNNNNNNNNNNNNNNNNNNNNNNNNNNNNNNNNNNNNNNNNNNNNNNNNNNNNNNNNNNNNNNNNNNNNNNNNNNNNNNNNNNNNNNNNNNNNNNNNNNNNNNNNNNNNNNNNNNNNNNNNNNNNNNNNNNNNNNNNACUAUCUAAAUUUUUAAAUAAGUAUGAGUAAAAUGAAAAAAAUGGUGAAAAUCAAAUUUUUGAUAACGGUGUGUAUUGGUGAAUAUUAUAGAAAUAUCUUUUACUAUAACUGUUGUUACGUGCGUCCAUAGAGGGUGGAUAUCAAGUGCAAGAUUACUGUAAACAAAACGACGGCGUGUUAGGAGUUGAUACGUACGUGGACGAAAAUGCGAUUAGGGAGUUGUGAAACGGUCUUGAGGAGAUAAUCGGUGGCCCACUUGAGAGCUACGAGGUUAUGUCCGAAAUCAUUCGGAGACAUGUAACUCCCGAAGUCAAUAGAACUCCAAGCAAGCAUCGUGGCCGUAAAUGCCAUCGGGAAAUGAAACUUAACGUUGUCUCCGGCGUCGUAGUAACCACCAACGAGGUCGGUAUUUAGGUUUCUGCCGUCGUUGAGUGCGGAGUCACCUCGCCACGCCACCCUUUGUUGUUUUGGAAGACGACCAGAGCGUUGACCUUCGAAAAAUAGGAUUGACUUUCUAAGAGCGUCGGAGUAGUCGUGAGGGAUCGCCGUUGGUAGACUGACAAGGACAAGUAUGAAAACCGUUACAAAGUAAAUCGAUGGUUUCAUUUUUUUCUAAAAUUUUAAUUAGGACUUGGUGAGAUUUUGUUGUUUUUGCAUUUAGUUUUGGGCCUUUAGGGUUCAUAUUUAUAGACACAUGUUGGGAGGCUCCCACUUCUGGUCUUUACGUAUACGUAUUUUGGGUAAUUUGGUAAGUAAUCAAUACGACGUAUUGGUUUGUUAAGUAUCCAUGCAUGUUCUAUCGAAAAAAAAGAUUACUCAUGAUACUUUUCUAGUUUUUUUUUGUUUUUUUGUUUUUUGCUUUCUUUCACCUCGAAUCCUCUGGUGAAUUUUCAAGAAACUAAUUUAGCUAUAAAAUUUAGAUCAAUAUCUUUGAAUUUAUUAUUUUUAACAGAGAUGAUAUUUUUCUUUCUAAUUCAAAUGCAUUUAACAUAAGUGUAUUCUAGUAUAUAGUAAUAUUUAUAAUUUUAAAAAAAAAAGAUUUGGGUAGAUUUAUUCAUCUGAUUUUUAUAGUGCCAAUUGAGGUAGAAAAUUCCAAUUUUAUUUUUCUGUAUAUAUGUAGUAAUAACUAUAUGUAUAGAAGUUCUAUGUAUAUUUUGCCAAUAAGUGCAACGACAAACAAAUAAAAAAUAUUUAAUUUAGAUGACUCAUCAUUUCAUCAGCUAAGUAAUUUUUAAUGAAUUAUUAAUUUACAGACAUAAUAAAUAAAUGUGAGGGUACAAAGAAUAGGGGAAUGAAGUCUGAAUAUUUUUGUUGAACUGGAUGAGGUGCAAAGAUAAGAAACGUUGGCAAUGAGAACAUGAAAUUUUACCACGUACACUAACGUUAGAUUAGUCAUUAGUGGAAUGGCUUUUAAUGCCUAAACCAUGAAUCAACAGAAAUAUUUUGUUAUUAUUUAUAAAUUAGGUCAGAUAUGAAAACCCGAUUUCGUUUUCAUAUAGAAGAGUUAAGUAAUUAGCAAAAGCUCCGUUUUAUACUAUCUGGUUUGUUCUGCUCCAUAUCGGGUUAUUUUAUUUCUCUACACAAUGUCUACCUCGUUCUGCUACUUUUUUUUUUUUUUGUAUGAUUAUUUUUUAUAGAAACUAAAUAUUUGUUCGUUUAUAUCAUAUCACAUCAUCUUUCCGUGUAGCUUCCACAAUUUUCGCGUUAUAAUUUAUUUCCAAAAUAUUUUAGUUUCGCACAUAUCCAAACUCAGACAAGUUCUUUUACAACUGAAUAUACUCAAAAUAGUAUUAAUUGUGUAUAUUACAUUAAUUAGUAUCUGUGACCAACCGCUAUUAUUAGGUUUAGUUGAAGGGUAGUUUUCGAUUAUUUUUUUCUGCUAUUUUAUAGAUUUGUUGACUAUAGUUGUAUCAAUGAAUCACUUGUUCAAUCAUAAACCUAUAAAAUAUAUUAUGGAAUGAUAUUCCAAUCAUCAAAAUUACAUCAUGAGUACGGACGCACACAGCAAACCAAAAUAAACUAAUAUUAUUGCUCAAGUUAUAGUAUUAAUGUGUACAUAUAUCUUAUCUUCAGACAUGCAAAUAUAUAUAUAUAUAUAUAUAUUGAUAUUGAAAUAAUAAUUCACAGAAAUUGAAUUAAGAUAGAGUCUUUAGAGAAAAAUAGCAUGGAAUGAUGGAAUACCUAAUUUAUAAAAAAUGAUAGUCUAUAUAUAGCUAAUGGUCAUCAUGGCGUUAGUUCAGACUAUAAUAAAUUUCUUUUUUUUUUGGGCAAAAGUCUAGAAUAAAUUUCUAAACCUAUUUUUUUCCUGUACCACUGAAAGAAGAUUAUCAUCGAUUAUAUGUUAAAGAUUGAAUAUGGAUAUGAGAUUUCUCUUUAACAACAUUAAAUAAAACUGAACUGUACUCGUUUUGCUUAGCAAAUAUUUGUAUAUAUAUGAGUACUAGAGACUAUCUAUUACAUUUGUAGGAAAAUAAAAAAAUAAAAUUGUAAGAACCCGAAUAAGUUAUUCAGAUUAAUUCUUUCUUUGCUUGGGCAAGAUGAGAGACUUCUAAAAACCAUGUACUCCCAUGCAUACUCUUGGAACGUUAGAACUAUAUUCCAAUUUUACCACCAUGACGACGUCAGCUAAAACUGGGAUUGGCUGCAAAGUAAGCCAAUACGCCAACGAAAGGAGCAUUGAUGUAAGUAGUUGGCUCGGACUUGCGGAAGUCGGACCGAUUAUCAUCGUACGUAUCAUCCUCCCCGGGACCUCCCACCACCGCUCCUAUCAAAACGUUCGGGUUUGGUUCGGUCGAAUUGAAAUAAAACGACCCGUCUUUGCACCCGAUUGCUCCAGGAUGAUCAACGAUGGACGGUAACGAUGAACCUCGGUGGUGGAUCCUCUUUGGAUACCUCUCUCCAUACCCGACCAUGUACGAUAGUCCCAUCGGAUUUUCACCCAAGAUAUAGUCCACCUUCAGUUUCCAACAAAACAUUAUUCGAGAUUACAAUUAGUUAAUAAUACAUAUACGUAUAUAUAUAUGAAGAAUUUUGCAGACCGGCCGGUCUUACAAAACCAGAUAGGCUAAAACGACCAAUCACUAAUUAAAAAACCAAACCAGUCUAACCUGUUUCUUGGCGAGACGGCGGAGAUAAUCAGGAGGGACAGUAAGAGUUCCGCAAUUGAGGGAGAGAGAGCUUCUAGAAAGAUACUGAGCGUAGACAAGGAGGAGGAAAGAUAUGGUGGUCGCAUGCUGGAGCUGGCUACCUCCGGGCUUGUAAAGUAGACCGGCGGGAGUGUAUUCAACGUGCGGUCCUGGAGAUUCCGGGACCAGACUACACAUGAAGCUCUCCGCCGAUGCCUUGUACGCCUCUAAGUUGUACAUCUUCCCUUCUAUCACUUCCUGUACCGAAAUUCAAUUAAACUCCUAUUUCAUCGGUUUAUCAUACCGGUUUGUUUUCUCAUUAACCGGGUCACUUUGGUGAACUCACGUGCACGGGAAGAAAAGAACAUACACUUUUUCUUAAUAUGCACGUGCAACCCUCGUGUUUUCUACCAAAGUUUAUUUCGGUUUGACCCCCUAACUUUAAUGUUAAUAUAAAUUAGGAGAACUAACCUUUGAAACGAGAACAUUAAGUCCACCAACUUUGUUGUCCCAGCCAAAUUCGUCGACGUUAUCGUUAGCACCAAAUGGUUCACGGUUACUCUCUAUGUAAUUAAGGUAGCUGUCAUCACCAGUCGCUUUUCUCAGCCAAGCUGCUCCCCACAAUAACUCAUCCUACCCAUACCAAAAAUAUAUAUUAAUUUUUUUUUUAAGCAUUGACAAUCAUCAAAAAAAUUAAUAAAAUACUUAAUCAUGAUUGUAUAAUGAUCCUACAUUGAAUAAUUGUUACCAACUCCUUAAGUGAGACAGGAAAAAUUUACAAAUGUUGAAAUUUUGGUGUUUACCUGAAAUCCGUUGAAGUCACAGUAAAAAGGACAAACAUCAUUUUUGAUAUCGUCAUUGCUGCUAUAAGCACCACGAUACGUAUCAGCAAACUGAAAAGUUUUGACGGCAUUUUGGAGUAAUGUUUGAGAGUAGCCAGGAUCCGAUGACCGGAAAGCAAUCGAAGCAGCUGAGAAGGCCGCCGUAGUUUCUCCAGCAACUUCAGAAGCUGGAUUCGGAGCAUUAACAACGUAAGCAGUCCGUGGUGUGUCCAUAUCUUCAGGCCUUUCCCAGCAAUUAUGAUCUGCAAUUGGAUCACCUACCUAUAUCACAAGUUCACAACACUUUAGUUAGUUUUCAAAUAAUAACAUUCAAGGUCUCUAAAAUAUUUUUUAAGAAAAACUAUAUACAAUAUGUAAUGAAUAAAAUAAGAAAUAUACCUAACAACAUCAACAUCAUCAUCAUAUAUGAUGUCUGAUAUCUCUAAUAUUGGAACAAAGAGAAUUGAACGAUUCUGAGAGAGAAGUCUCUAUCAUCGCAUCUCAGCUCUAAUUAUUGAAUGAUGAUGAUAAUAGUUCAUUUAAACUAUGAUGCAACGACCUCUUCGAUUGAAUGUUGGGAAUUCUAGAAGCCAUUCACUAAUUUUAUUUUAUACGUAUGUUGUUAUGGAAUUAAUCAUCAUCCAAUUAUAGUCAACAAAAUUUAUUGUUGUAGGUUCCAAAACUAAUCACACACAGAAGUAAAAAACUAAUAAUAGUAGUUGGUCAUAUUGUAUUUAUUUAUUUACUACAAAGUACGGACACAAAAAAAAAUUAAAUUGACAUUUACGUUGCCUACUUAUAAAACUCAUACAGAAUUAACUUUUUUUUCUCUCUGUUCCUCUCAGUGUUACGUACUGGAUUUUUCUCAUUAACAUUAACUAGCUAAAUUGAUAUUUUAUAUUAACGAUAAUUUCGAGCAGAGAAAGAAAAAAAAAAAGGAGAGAGAGAGCGAAGUAAAAAGGGCCAAAAAAAAAGUGUGACGCAACGACAAAAAAAGGGGUUAAAUGCAGAGAGACACUUGAGAGUCCGAAACAAACAAAACAACACUUCACGGGUUAGUUUCAUUCACCCCUCUUGAGUCUUGGCAACUCAAACGAUUCAGUUUCCUAAAUCUUCGCUAUCUAAUUCCCCAAAUUACCCUUCUCCCCCCCUCCCCAUUGUUGCUUAUUCACUAAAAAAAUGCCCCUCACCGGCACCCACAAAAAAGAAAAAAAAAGGAAGUAGUUACGAAAUUGAAUAGGAAAUAAAAGAACACAAACCUGGACGAAGAUGCGGUUAGGUAGCUGCGAAACAGAUUUGAGAAGGUAAUUAGAGCUCCACCGGAGAGCCACGAGGGAGUUACGGAGCUCCGACGGAGGCAUGAGUUCGCCGAAUUCGAUUACGCUCCAGGCGAGCAUUGUGGUGGUGAAUGCCAUCGGGAAAUUGAAUUUUACGUUGUCCCCGGCGUCGUAGUAACCGCCGGUUAAAUCGGUGUUGUGCGUCCAACCGUCGCUCAGACCGGAGUUACGGCGCCACGUCAUACGCUGGUCGUUUGGGAGGUAACCAGAGCGUUGGCCUUCGAAGAAGAGGAUCGAUUUUGAGAGUGCGUCGGAGUAAUCGUGCUGGCUCGACGACAUUAUCGGAAGGAGGUGUAAGAAGAAGGAAACGACAAGCCAGAGAAGGAACAAAUGUAAAUUCAUGUUUUCUCGGCGUCGGUGGUGCUGACUGGUGAGGGAGCGCCGCUACUGUCUCUGUGACUGACUAAACGGUGUUUGCAGCUACGAGUGUGUCACGAGAUGUGUUUAUAAAUGUAUAUAUAUAUGUGGGAGGUUUCUCUUUUUUCUUUUUUUCUUUUUUUUUUUUAAUAUAGAACAUAAUAAAAGGAGUGAUUAUGUGAUUUAGUGCUUUUUGGUAUUCUAUGGGAAAAAUAUAUAUAUAAAAUUUAUCUUGUUCUGCCAUUUAUGAUAUUUAUUAUUAUAUUAAAAAGAGUAAAAUAUACCCUACCAAAAAAAAGAGAGAGUAAAAUUUAACAAUUAGAUUUAGUUCUUAUUAUUGAUUUUUUUGUUUAAUUCAUAAAUGGAAUUCAUUUAAAUAUAUAUAUUUUAAUUAUCUAAGUAGUGAAUAAUAAUAUGUCAUUAGUGCGUGUGGGCAGCACUACCGACAAAUGAAACUGAAGCGAGCGAGUAAUCCCCAUGGUGUCACUGGUUUUUUUUUUGUUUAAUAAGAUAAAACCAAAAUCUCGAAUAUUUUUAUUUAAAUUCUUUGGUUUUAUGUUUUUUUUUUUAAUUUACUUAACUCUUUAAGAGUGCAAUGAGCAUGUCUCUUUAGAAGUACAAUUAACAUUAUAAAUUGUAAGCUAUUAUUCAGCUAUUAUUCAAUAUUACUGAAAACGAAAGAUAGGACGAAGGAUGUGUGUCAUCAACGGGAUUAGCAUCAUAAUAAUAAUAGAUUGCUUCCUCAGUGUUAAUAUAAAGUAUCGAAUAAUGAAACGAAAAAAGAAAUGAGGAAAAAAAAAUCAGAAUCCUCGUGACUAUGUGUGGACCCAUCAUGCUACUGUAACACGAUUCGGGCUUUGCGCUUAAAAGCGUUAAGUUGCUGCUAAAACUAAAAGUAUACAACAAACAAAUUCACAAUUUUUCUAUGAGUUUGUGUGCUACUUCUACUAUUCAAAUUAUAUUAUAUUUAUAUAUGAGUUAAUUACCUAACUACUAAGAAAUCAUUAUCAUUGUAUGUUAUUUUAAUUCAUACCGACUACUAUAUGUAGUAGAGCAUUUCUUCUAUAUGAUUUAGUCUUUAGCGUCCACAAAAGACUUUUGUGUCCAUAAAAUAUUUUACAGAUUAAUUAACUUUUAUCAUCUUCAAAUGAGCAAACAUCCAUAAUAUUAUAUUAUUAUAUAUUGAGUCUUCAUUUUUGCAAAACAAAUCAAUAUUUCUAGGUAGACCCAUCAUCUUUUCUAUGGAGUUAUGUUGAGCUCCGAUCAUGGUUUUCACACCAGCGACCGUCGCAACUUGAAUUUAUAAUAUGGAUAAUGUCGCAACUAAUUUCCAGCGACUCAACAAUCAUCCAAAAAGAAUCGUGCGACAGAAAAAGAAAAGGGAAGAAGAAGAAAUUGUGGAUCUUCAACUCAAUACAGGGGUCAUAGAUCUUAGAUGGUGUCGUGACAUUGUGGAUCGAUUCGAACCCAAUCUUUCAUAAUACUAUUUUUGUCUGAGAGAGCAGCGCAGCAUGUGUCAGUGCUUAUAGUUUAAAAGUUCACAGCACAUAUGGCCCAUGAUAUUGCCAAUACGGAAUGGAACGUAUCAGAAAAAGUUGGAAUGGUCUAUAUAUAUAUGUACCGAACUUAACCGUAUUAAGUUAUAUAUGUAGUUAGGCGUGUACGUAAAAGUAUCACAUAUACGUAUUCAUCAUAAACAAUAACAUACGAACCAUACCUCAAGUUAGUAAGGGAACUUUUUUUAUUUAUCUAUUUAUUUUUGAGACGUAUACUUUUGAGGGACUUUGCCAAUUUCACAAGCAAGAAUGCAAGAUGAUGCAUAAUCUGUUACAUUAUCCUUUACCGAUCAUACUGUAUUUUCUCUUUUCCUCUGAAAAUCUUCUCUUUACGCUUACAUGAUGUUUAUCCCCCCCUCAGACAAUAUUUUACACCAUAAUUAUUAUAGUGAUCUUAUAGUCUCCAAAAACAUCAACUUGGUCGAAAAAAAUCAUACGAUGGAAAUUAAAAAAUCCACUAGCAAACGAACUCUUUUUUUGUUUGGUAAGAUAAAAAUAUUUAAAGACUAGUAUAUAUAGAUCUAGACUAAAAUAUUUCAGGUCAUAAUAAUCGAUACGAAUGUUUUACAAGUGAGUUAACUGGUUAGUGGAAAAGAUUAUGGAUAUAUAUAUAUAUAUAUAGCUAACCACUAAUAGGCAUUUAGAAAAGAUAUAAGAUUCCCUGACAAAUCCAUGUCUCUUAUUUCAUUGGUACCAUUUACGUACCUUGUGAAUCACGACAAGUCACCUUCUAAUCUAUGCACAUCAGCAGCACAGCCACAUGUGUGUGCGUUAUGUGGAAUAUUCAUUUCGGCAGCAACAGAUGUAAAUAAAUAUCUUCAAUGUUAACCUCUUCCGGCUAGCUAAUCCGUUUUUUCUUUUACUUUUUCUGUAACCUUAUUGGGCCUUGUAGCCCGCUUUGUCUCAGUCCAUUAAAGAGUUAAUAAUAUUUAAAAAAAUAAAAAUAAAAAAUUGAGGAUUCGGCGAUUAAAAAAAAAGGAAAAAAAGAAAGAAAAGUAGACAAUUUAAUGCAUAAUGGGCUCAAUUUAGGUGUAGUUUGUUAUUGGGUCUUCAAUGCCCAUUUAUUAACUAAUCAAAUUGCUGACGUCAUUUUUUUCUUUCCCUGACUCCAAUUUGUGUGGCCUUUAGAAAGAAGACCAUGAAUUCAGAAACAAGGAGCAGGAAGAUUCAUACAGAUUCGUUUUGCUUACUGUGAUGAUCCUUAUCGAAGAGUUUCACUUCCAAGUUUCAGGUUUCUCAUCUCUCUUCUUAUCUUAGCUAUAAUUCAAAAUUUAAUAACAUUUGUUUUUUCUAUAUGUGUUUUAAUGUUUUUUUUUGAAUAAUAUAAAAGUUUUUGGGCCGAAUCCCAUAUAUAUCUUUAGACCCGAAAUCAAAGCAUGUUAAUGUUUUUUAAAAAGAAUUUUUUAUCGUUUAUAAAUUUAUUAAUUAUUACAGAUGAUAACUGUUACAGAGAUAAUUCUACCAUUGACAAUUCAUNNNNNNNNNNNNNNNNNNNNNNNNNNNNNNNNNNNNNNNNNNNNNNNNNNNNNNNNNNNNNNNNNNNNNNNNNNNNNNNNNNNNNNNNNNNNNNNNNNNNNNNNNNNNNNNNNNNNNNNNNNNNNNNNNNNNNNNNNNNNNNNNNNNNNNNNNNNNNNNNNNNNNNNNNNNNNNNNNNNNNNNNNNNNNNNNNNNNNNNNNNNNNNNNNNNNNNNNNNNNNNNNNNNNNNNNNNNNNNNNNNNNNNNNNNNNNNNNNNNNNNNNNNNNNNNNNNNNNNNNNNNNNNNNNNNNNNNNNNNNNNNNNNNNNNNNNNNNNNNNNNNNNNNNNNNNNNNNNNNNNNNNNNNNNNNNNNNNNNNNNNNNNNNNNNNNNNNNNNNNNNNNNNNNNNNNNNNNNNNNNNNNNNNNNNNNNNNNNNNNNNNNNNNNNNNNNNNNNNNNNNNNNNNNNNNNNNNNNNNNNNAGAAUUAAACGAGAAGAAGUUGAAGUGGUACUAUGUCGGAUGCCUCAAAUGAAGUUGUGGCUAGUCCUUCAAACAGAAUCACACGAGCAUUAUUCCUCAAGGUGGCUAUCAUAUCGAUCUAUGGCGUUGCAAAAGGAUGGGAUAGUGUGAUUGCAUACAAAGAAAAUAUGAGUUUUAGCUAUGUUGUAUUAAGAUACUUUGGAUUCUUGUCGAUAUAUGUUUAUGUUUUCAGAUUGGUUUGUUGCUUUUUCCCCUCAUAUCGACCAUACACAAGUCUCGAAGGCCGACAAAACUUGCUCGCCAUUAUCUUAGUCAUGGUUAGCGUGUUUAUGUUGUGUAGCUGCUACACAUGGCGGAGAUGGGAUGUUUUUUACCUUACUUUAAGUGUCGUCAUCGCUGCAAUGUCAUUGGCUCAAUUGAUCUACAGCAUGGAUAAGCUUUCGGCUACCCAUAUUUUACUUGUAGCCCUCCUUGGACAUAUAUGGGGAAUCUUCAUACUCAUGAGGUUUACUUAUGGCAUUUAUUUUAUAUGACGAACUCUGAAGAAGAACUCGUGCAUGGCUAGAGUGACUGGGUGAGAUAUAUAUGGAGAGAGUAUAAUAAGAUUAAUUAGGUUACAAAUAACAUAUAUUUACAAAUCAUAGGUUUAGUAGAGUACGAUUAUAUACUGUAAUGUUAUUCAUAUAUGCAUGCAUGAAGUUUUAUAAUUAUAAUUAUAAAAAACGUAACUAAUACUUUUAGUUUGCUUUGGUAGUUUAAAACUUAAAAAAUGAUGUUCAAGUUUGAUAAUUAUUACUGUAGUUUCUUGCACUGAAGUAAAUUAUCAAACAGAUGAUAUGAAAGAUGAGUUGUUAAACAACAGCAUUUCAAAGCAUCGGACAAUUUAGCCGGUAGCUCGGAACGGCGAUGAGCCUGGUGGCUCUAGGCGCCGUGAGACCGAACAUGUCAGUCAUAUCGAGAUCAUCGGAGGUAACUCCUCCGGGCAACUCCCAAUCAAAAGAAUGAAGCAUGUGCGCAACGGCUAGCUCCAUAGCGUAAAGCCCUAACUGCAUACCCGGGCACGAUCUUCGACCCGACCCAAACGGUAGAUACUCGAAAUCACUCCCUUUGAAGUCCGGUGCCUUGCUUUCCAUAAACCGACCCGGUUUAAACGCAUUUGGUUCAGUCCAGACCGAUCCGUCACGCCCAAUCGCGUACACAUUGAUCAUGACCCGAGAAUCACGGGGGAUUGAGUAGCCGGAGACGACGGAAUCCGCCGCCGCCUCGUGGAGGAGAAGCGGGAUCGGCGGGUGUAGCCUCAACGUCUCUUUCAUGGCGCAUCUGAAGUAAGGAAGAUUCUCCAGAUCAGAUUCGUGAAACCGGCGAUUCAAACCGAUGAUGUCAGCGAGUUCUUGCUGCACUUUCCUGAGUUCGUGAGGAUUCUUCAUUAGCUCCGUCAUUGCCCAUUCAAUCGCAGACGCCACCGUUUCAGUCCCACCAAACAUCACAUCCUACAAUCAUCAACAUGAUUUAUUAAUUUUUUUGACAUAUGGUUUGUAACAUCAAACAUAUAAUAUAUGGUUAUUUAUUACCAUGACAAGGGCUUUGAUGUUGUCUCUUGUGAGUCUAAGCGAUGAUGACUGUGCAUCAUUAGAUUCAUCCUCUCCGCUAUAAAACGCCAUAAGUUCAUCGACCAUGUCAUCAUCCAGGCCAUCAUCAUCAUUUGGUUUUCUCGAGAUCUUCUUUUCGAUAUGCGCAUCGAUGAUUCUGUCUAUGAACCCAUCCAAGGAGUUCCUAGCGUUCUCUAACCGCUUGGUGAAACCGCGGUUACCAAACCAUCUCAUCCACGGUAAGAACUCUGUGAUAUCGAAUGCACCAAAGAGCUUGGAGAACUCUUGUAGUAUCUUGACGAAUUCGUCUUGGCCGUCGCGAGCGAAGGAGCCAAACGCAGCUCGGUAUGUUAUGUUCCGCGUCAAAGCGAAAACCAGCUCGCCUACGUUAACCGGUGAACCGGUUUGUUCGAUCAGCGUUUGAACCAUUGAAUCAAUUUCUUCUCGUACCGAGGCCCAUGACUCGGCCCGCUUUCUGCUGAAGAGCUUCAUCACGCAAAUCUUUCUCAUCUGACGCCAAAGCGGACCGUAGUUGGCAAACGCCAUAUCCGCUCGGUUGUAAGUAAGAUAUGAAAUCGCCACGUUAGCCGGCCGGUUUGCAAAAACCACAUCUUGAACCUAACAUAACCAAAUACACAUUUUCUAAUUUAAAUGUUAAAAUCUAGAGAUUAUUUACAUAUAUAAAAAAAAAUAGUUGAAAAUCUAUGGAAAAUAGUAUUUUACCUGAAGAAUUUGUCGGGCCAUUUCAGCAGUUGAAACGGCUACAAUAUGAAUGAUACCCAUCUGAAGGUGUAGGAGACCACCAUAUGGUUUGGCUAACUCGGCCAGACCACGAUGACUCAAUUGAUCUUUAAGUUUCAAGUUCCCUACUAUUGGAUAUCCUCUUGGACCUGGUGGAUGGGGGAGACUCCGACUCCGAUUCAACAAACCUCUAACUAAAUACCAAAGAAAAAUUAGAAAAACAUAUAAGAUCGGUGAGCAAAGCAAACAAUCCAUCUUUCUUUUCUUUUCUUUCUAAUAGAGAGGGAGAGAGUAUAAAGAUGGUGGAAAAAGGUUUUUGUUUUCUGGUUUUUUGUAUGGUCACACAAACAUGAAUCUGGCUGCGCUCUUAUUCAUUAGAUAUACAGAAAAUAAAUUAAAGUUCUAAUAAAAUUUGGGUGGUUAUUUAAUAGCAUUUUGAGAUUGAUUGCAUUAGGAUACAUGAAGUCAAAUCUUUUAGAGCAUUUUAAUUUCUAGAUGAUUUACCAAAAAUGUUCACAUGGUGUUUGAUUUAUUGACUACAUAUAGCUGUGUGUUGUAAUUAUUUAAUACUUAAAAAUGAAAGAUUUAUUUCCCUGCAUAUAGCUGUGUAUAACUAUAAAAAUGAAAGAUUUAAGUCUGGUUUUUCAACAACAAAAAAAAAAAAAACUAAAAAUGAAAAAUUUAUUUCCCUUUUGGGCAUUUGAAGAUAACAAUGAUAGCUAGGCAAUUUGGAU